ACUCUCAGAGCUGCCUCUCCCUCUGCUCAGUCACCAAUGCAUCACCUUCCUCCAUCCCCAUCACUUAUAACAAGCAACAGUAAUCAAGUAAUUAACAGUCCCGCUGAGCAGUACCAGAUGCAAACCAGUUCUCGUUCUGAUCCAAGACUAUCCCAAAUCUCAAGGAGGUCAAAUCUAGAUCCUCGUAACCAGUAUGCCCAGGAAUCUCUGACAAUGCCAUCUCGGAAUACCGUUUCAGUUAAUUCACAAAGACAACACCCUCCAAGUUUGCAGAAUUCGUCUGCCUUGUCUUCUUCUCAUCAGUUGAGACAGAAGGUUCAGCGGGAAAGCCUGGAAUCUGAAUAUUCUGUACAAACCAAGAAUUCAACAGUUCCUGAGAUUUCAGGUUUUCCUGAUCCCUCUAGCACUAGCAGUUUGUUGGCUGCUGUUUUGAAGAGUGGAGUCAUUGGUAAUAAAUCGAGUUCUGGUACUACGCCAAGUUCUCUUGAUAAGGGUGCUCUCUCAUCCCAAGCCAGUGCACAGCCUCAUCCCGCCCAGUUUUCCACAUCUGGGCCUAGGAUACCGCCGGCCUCUGUCACUAGUCUAUCAAUGGACAGAAAUGCUUCGAACUCUCCAAAUUAUUCCCAGAGAAAUGUAGAACAGCCACCAUUGCCACCUGGUCUGCCUCCAACUCUUGCAGGUGCUGCAUCAUCGCAGACGCCGAAUGCACCAAAUAUUGCUUCCAGUCCUCUUUCA
rnacentral:misc_RNA from 1 species